rnacentral:lncRNA from 10 species
CGGGAGAGGAGCAUGCGCAGUGUGUUUACUGGAGUUGUGCGCAUGCUUGCUUGAGGCAUUUUUCUCUUAACCAGCGCAAUGUACUUAGGAGGUCAUGCGCCGGUUAAACUCUGCCAUUAUGCCUCUUACUGGGCAUGCUUGAGCCCACGGGCCCAACUCCUGAGAUCCCAUUCGGAAGCUGCUGAUCACCAGUUUCAAGUGUUUCUGUUUAUUGGGAGACUGCCUUCCUCUGGCACUGGCAGUGACCAAUUAUUAUUUUAGAGAGACUGUUAACGGCCUGACCAUCACCUGAUGAAUAUCAGGAAUGUGGCCUGACAUUCCUGGUACACGGAGCGCCUUCUUUUCGUUUAGAGCAUUGGUGUCUCCACAUUAGAAGCAUCCUAUGUAGCUGUUCUGCUUGCAGCUGCCCAAGUCUGCCUGGGCCUCCUGCAUGAGGUCAUGAGUCUUAAUAAAGCCACUGACCCACACAUUUGGAAUCGUACUGACUUUUCACAACUAACAGCCAACACAUUGCCAAGAAGCAAUUCAAUUGUUGAGGAUAUCACAUCAUGCCAGGGAAAGAGAGAUGGAAUUCAGAAAGCCUGGGAUAUUGCAGGUUUAUCCUGACAGUAACCUCUCCCCAGGUCGGAAGACCUCUCAGGCUCUGUUUCUAGGGAGGCUGACCUGCUGACAAUGCUCCUAGCUGGAUUUUGUAAGCGGUCUUGAAUAAAGUCUUCCUCACUGUUUUAACAAGAGACAAGGUAAUGUUCAUUGAACAUCUUAUACAAAGAGGAAACCUGGCACAGAAGUGGACAUGCACUCGGAGGGAAAAUGCCAAGUGACAAUGAAGGCAGAGAUCAGGUGAUGCAUCUGCAAGCUGAGCAACAUCAGGAAUUGCCAAAAACCACCAGGAGCUGGAGAGGCCUGGGACAGAGCCUCCCACGGAGCCUCAAGGGAGCCAGCCCUGCCCACGCCUUGAUCUUUGACGUCCGACCUCAAGAACUAUGAAAGAACCCAUUUCUGUUGGUGAAGGCUCCCCGUCUGUGGUCCCCUGUCCUGGCAGCCCUAGGAACCUGACCUCUGGUCCCUCUGCAUCCCUGGCAUCACUCUGCCUCCCUCUCUUUUUCUCCAGUGAAUCCAACACACUCUCAGUGAGACAGCCAGGUGGCAAGGGGUUCUCGGAGAAACUCCAGCCGGCCUGCUCGCUGGGCAUGUACACUGGAGUGGAGCCACAGAAGUUCACGGUGUUUGCAGCAGGGAGGAGCCUGGCCACUCCUCUUCCUGGUUGGAACCUGGAAUUUAUUUUGUGAGGCGGGAAGCCUAUACUGGGGAGACUCUUGCUCUGCUGAGUCCCCAUUCCCCCUUUAUUUUCCUUUUUGCCCAAUAAAUCCUAUUAUUCUCAGUCUUCAAAUU